AUUGAACGCUGGCGGCAUGCCUUACACAUGCAAGUCGAACGGCAGCACGGGAGCAAUCCUGGUGGCGAGUGGCGAACGGGUGAGUAAAGUAUCGGAACGUGCCCGGUCGUGGGGGAUAACGUAGCGAAAGUUACGCUAAUACCGCAUACGAUCUAUGGAUGAAAGCGGGGGAUCGCAAGACCUCGCGCGAUUGGAGCGGCCGAUAUCAGAUUAGGUAGUUGGUGGGGUAAAGGCUCACCAAGCCGACGAUCUGUAGCUGGUCUGAGAGGACGACCAGCCACACUGGGACUGGGACACGGCCCAGACUCCUACGGGAGGCAGCAGUGGGGAAUUUUGGACAAUGGGCGAAAGCCUGAUCCAGCCAUGCCGCGUGCAGGAUGAAGGCCUUCGGGUUGUAAACUGCUUUUGUACGGAACGAAAAGGUUUGGCCUAAUAAGCUGAGCUCAUGACGGUACCGUAAGAAUAAGCACCGGCUAACUACGUGCCAGCAGCCGCGGUAA
rnacentral:rRNA from 1 species